rnacentral:misc_RNA from 1 species
AAUAAUAGUAAGGCCCUUAAAGAGAAGAACAAAAUUUAUACUUGCAAAGCAGUAGUUCCACUAAACUUCAAUUUGCACAAUGAAAAUUUGAAUUUAUAAGAUUCCCAUAAGCUAAAUGAAAGGGAAAAAAGCUAACAAACUCUUCAAUCAAGCUGCUAACUCAUUCCACUGAAAAUUCAUUGAACUGCUUGUAAGACCAUACUUUUCAAGGAAGGUUUGAGCUUGCUGCAGCUCCUCCGCCAUAGCUACCAGCUCCACGGCCAAAACCUGGCCUUCCACCAGGACCCCCAAAUGAAGGCCUGUAAUCUGCAGGAGCUCCUCCCUUGUCACCACCAAAUUCACCACCGGGUCCACGAGGACCUCCACGGUAGCCAUCACGGUCACCAAACCUUCUCUCACCACCCUCAAAACGAGGUGGACCCCGUGGGCGAUCGCCGGGUGGUCCGCCAAAGGGUCUACCAGCGGGCUUAGCUUGUUUCUUCAAGGUAGCAGGGACAAUUUCAGAAGGAAGA